AAAAAUCUUAAUUCCACCACUAGUAUUACGAAUAAUGUUAGCGUGGCAGAGCCAUGGGUUGAUUACGAAUUCGGCCCGAAUGUUUAGUAUUGGGAACAAGUUAUAGCGUGAUUAGAAUUCCAUUAAAUUCAAAUUCUGCUCCCGCCUGGUCUGUUGUUCACUUUCAGUUUUCAAAGAAAAAAUUGGAGUUGCAGAUUGCAUAAGGUGUUUGAUAAAUUGCCCGAGAGAGAAACUCAAACCACAGCUAAGCUUGAUUUUGACAACUUUUUUAUAUGUAUGUACGUGCAAUUUCAGGCAUGGAAGAUCUGAAGUGCGGGCGUUUCUGCUUUUUCGGUCAUUCAGUUUCAUCUAUCGAUCGAGAAAACUGUGGUAGCUUCUCAUACUGCUGUUUUAAGUGGGAAUUCAGUAGAGGCGAAGCUAUGAUUUCAACUUGAUGGAUUCUGAAUUUAAUAUUUGUAUAUAUUUGAGGCUGAAUCCGCAUGUGGACUAUUAGCUCUGCUUCUGGUGGGAAGGACCUUUUCUAUGUGGUGUUGAUAUGGUCACUGAUUAGCUUUUGCAUUGCUAAAACAAGAUGAUUUUCGAAUGUGCAGCUCCACCAAGCAAAUUGGACAGGAAAUGGAUGAAGAGUUGCAAGAAGUGAAGAAAUCACUCAUUUUUCCAAGCCUAGAUAUGGAUGCAAGAGGUAGAAUGGAGACGGUAGACACUACGACCAGCAUUACAGCGUGUUUACAUGACAAGAGCAUCAACAUAUAAAGAUGCACUUAAAGGUUUCAUGGUGGGAUAUCAAGAAGGUAUUCAACAGUCAUGGAGAAAAAACGAGGAUGCUAAAUUGCACAAGGACACUUCUGCAGCCAAAGAACAAUCUUGGCCUCCGAAGUAAAAGUUUAUGUAUUGGGGAAAUGGGGGAAGGAGAUUACAUCGCAAAUGGUCAUGUUCAACUCAUUGAGGCUCUUGUUUGUAAAAGUGAUUUGGCUUGACAUCAAUUGAACCUCAACGUGUAAGGUCAGGAUCAAAUACAUA